GAGCAAUGUCAAAAUGUCCCCCAGA
rnacentral:piRNA from 1 species